rnacentral:SRP_RNA from 1 species
GCCGAGCCUGGUAACGUGGGCUUAUGACCCAAGUGGGGGUAUCAAGGUGGCGAAGGCAGAGAAUAAUGGGCUUGAUGGGGCAGUCUGUUUGGGGAGUUGGGGUGGAAACGUAAGUUUGCCACGGUUGAGUGGCUUGUUAGAGCAAUUCAAUCCACUUCCAUAUAGGCCAGAUUUACCCUACUAGGCCCUUCUUAUCUCAACCUCCACUUUC